rnacentral:piRNA from 1 species
UAAGUAUCUGAUAGUCCAUGAAGUGACGU